rnacentral:rRNA from 1 species
AGCAGUAGCCGCGGUAAUACGUAGGGCGCAAGCGUUAUCCGGAAUUAUUGGGCGUAAAGAGCUCGUAGGCGGUUUGUCGCGUCUGCCGUGAAAGUCCGGGGCUCAACCCCGGAUCUGCGGUGGGUACGGGCAGACUAGAAUGAUGUAGGGGAGACUGGAAUUCCUGGUGUAGCGGUGAAAUGCGCAGAUAUCAGGAGGAACACCGAUGGCGAAGGCAGGUCUCUGGGCAUUAACUGACGCUGAGGAGCGAAAGCAUGGGGAGCGAACAGGAUUAGAUACCCCCGUAGUCCCUGUCUCUUAUAC